rnacentral:misc_RNA from 1 species
GAUGAAGAACGCAGCGAAAUGCGAUAAGUAAUGUGAAUUGCAGAAUUCAGUGAAUCAUCGAAUCUUUGAACGCACAUUGCGCCCGCCAGUAUUCUGGCGGGCAUGCCUGUUCGAGCGUCAUUUCAACCAUCAAGCCCCCGGCUUGUGUUGGGGACCUGCGGCUGCCGCAGGCCCUGAAAAGCAGUGGCGGGCUCGCUGUCACACCGAGCGUAGUAGCAUGCAUCUCGCUCUGGGCGUGCUGCGGGUUCCGGCCGUUAAACCACCUUCAUAACCCAAGGUUGACCUCGGAUCAGGUAGGAAGACCCGCUGAACUUAAGCAUAUCAAUAAGCGGAGGA